GAAGUUUUCAGAGAUGAGAAUGUGCCUUCGGGAACCGUGAGACAGGUGCUGCAUGGCUGUCGUCAGCUCGUGUUGUGAAAUGUUGGGUUAAGUCCCGCAACGAGCGCAACCCUUAUCCUUUGUUGCCAGCGGUCCGGCCGGGAACUCAAAGGAGACUGCCAGUGAUAAACUGGAGGAAGGUGGGGAUGACGUCAAGUCAUCAUGGCCCUUACGACCAGGGCUACACACGUGCUACAAUGGCGCAUACAAAGAGAAGCGACCUCGCGAGAGCAAGCGGACCUCAUAAAGUGCGUCGUAGUCCGGAUUGGAGUCUGCAACUCGACUCCAUGAAGUCGGAAUCGCUAGUAAUCGUGGAUCAGAAUGCCACGGUGAAUACGUUCCCGGGCCUUGUACACACCGCCCGUCACACCAUGGGAGUGGGUUGCAAAAGAAGUAGGUAGCUUAACCUUCGGGAGGGCGCUUACCACUUUGUGAUUCAUGACUGGGGUGAAGUCGUAACAAGGUAACCGUAGGGGAACCUGCGGUUGGAUCACCUCCUUACCUUAAAGAAGC
rnacentral:rRNA from 8 species